rnacentral:rRNA from 1 species
AUACGUAGGGGGCGAGCGUUGUCCGGAAUGAUUGGGCGUAAAGGGCGCGUAGGCGGCCCGGUAAGUCUGGAGUGAAAGUCCUGUUUUUAAGAUGGGAAUUGCUUUGGAUACUGUCGGGCUUGAGUGCAGGAGAGGUAAGUGGAAUUCCCAGUGUAGCGGUGAAAUGCGUAGAGAUUGGGAGGAACACCAGUGGCGAAGGCGACUUACUGGACUGUAACUGACGCUGAGGCGCGAAAGUGUGGGGAGCAAACAGGAUUAGAUACCCUGGUAGUCCACACUGUAAUCGAUGAAUGCUAGGUGUAGGGGGUAUCGACCCCUUCUGUGCCGCAGUCAACACAAUAAGCAUUCCGCCUGGGGAGUACGGCCGCAAGGUUGAAACUCAAAGGAAUUGACGGGG